CUCAUUUUUCAUCAUCCGCCUAUGAGUGAGAAUAUGCGGUAUUUCAUUUUCUGAUCUUGUGUCAGUUUGCUGAGAAUGAUGUUCUCCAGAUUCAUCCAUGUCCCUACAAAGGACACGAACUCACCAUUUUUGAUUGCUGCAUAAUAUUCCAUGGUGUAUAUGUGCCACAUUUUCCCCGUCCAGUCUAUCAUCAAUGGGCAUUUGGGUUGGCUCCAGGUCUUCGCUAUUGUAAACAGUGCUGCAAUGAACAUUCGUGUGCAUGUGUCCUUAUAGUAGAAUGAUUUAUAGUCCUUUGGAUACAUACCCAGUAAUGGGAUUGCUGGGUCAAAUGGAAUUUCUAUUUCUAAGGCCUUCAGGAAUCGCCACACUGUCUUCCACAAUGGUUGAACUAAUUUACACUCCCACCAACCGUGUAAGUGUUCUUAUUUCUCCACAUCCUCUCCAGCAUCUGUUGUCUCUAGAUUUUUUAAUGAUCACCAUUCUAACUGCCGUGAGAUGGUAUCUCAAUGUGGUUUUGAUUUGCAUCUCUCUAAUGACCAGUGAUGAUGAGUAUUUUUUCAUAUGUUUGUUGGCCUCAUGUAUGUCUUCUUUUGUAAAGUGUCUGUUCAUAUCCUUUGUUGGCCUCAUGUAUGUCUUCUUUUGUAAAGUGUCUGUUCAUAUCCUUUGCCCGCUUUUGAAUGGGCUUGUUUGUUUUUUUCUUGUAAAUCUGUUUUAAUUCUUUGUAAAUUCUGGAUAUCAGCCCUUUGUCAGAUGGGUACACUGCAAAAAUUUUUUUCCAUUCUGUUGGUUGCCGAUUCGCUCUAGACUGUUUCUUUUGCCGUGCAGAAGCUGUGGAGUUUGAUUAGGUCCCAUUUGUCUAUUUUGGCUUUUGUUGCCAAUGCUUUUGGUGUUUUGGUCAUGAAGUCCUUGCCUACUCCUAUGUCCUGAAUGGUUUUACCUAGAUUUUCUUCUAGGGUUUUUAGGGUGUUAGGUCUUAUGUUUAAGUCUUUAAUACAUCUGGAGUUAAUUUUAGUGAACGGUGUCAGGAAGGGGCCAGUUUCUGCUUUCUGCACAUAACUAGCCAGUUUUCCCAACACCAUUUAUUAAACAGGGAAUCCUUUUUGCCUCUGUUCUGUACCAUUGGUCUAUAUCUCUGUUUUGGCACCAGUACAAUGCUGUUUUGAUUACUGUAGCCUUGUAGUAUAGUUUGAAGUCCGGUAGUGUGAUGCCUCCCGCUGUAUUCUUUUUACAUAGAAUUGACUUGGCCAUGCGGGCUCACUUUUGGUUCCAUAUGAAGUUGAAGGUGGUUUUUCCCAGUUCUGUGAAGAAGGUCAUUGGUAGCUUGAUGGGGAUAGCGUUGAAUCUGUAAAUUACUUUGGGCAGUACGGCCAUUUUCACGAUAUUGAUUCUUCCUAACCAUGAACAUGGAAUGUUUCUCCAUCUAUUUGUGUCCUCUCUUAUUUCGUUGAGCAGUGGUUUGUAGUUCUCCUUCAAGAGGUCCUUUACAUUCCUUGUUAGUUGUAUUCCUAGGUAUUUUAUUCUCUUUGUAGCAAUUGUGAAUGACAGCUUGUUCUUGAUUUGGCUCUCCUUAAGUCUGUUAUUGGUGUAUAGGAAUGCUUGUGAUUUUUGCACAUCGAUUUUGUAUCCUAAGACUUUGCUGAAGUUGCUUAUCAGUUUCAGGAGAUUUUGGGCUGAGACGAUGGGGUCUUCUAGAUAUACUAUUAUGUUGUCUGCAA
rnacentral:lncRNA from 13 species